GAAAGUUAGUCUAAUCAAGACA
rnacentral:tRNA from 1 species